CCUGGGAUUCUACAGGCGGCGACCCGAAGCCGUCGGAAGCUAAAGGGCUAUGGCCGCUGCGGGAUCUGUGAGGGCGGCGUUGCAGGUGGCGGAAGUGCUAGAAACCGUCGUGAGCUGCUGCUUGGGGCCCGAAGGGCGGCAGGUUCUGUGUACCAAGCCCACUGGCGAGGUGCUGCUCAGCCGGGAUGGAGGCCGCCUCCUGAAGUCGCUACACUUAGAGCAUCCCAUAGCCAGGAUGAUGGUGGCAUGUGUUUCCAGUCAUCUAAGAAAAACAGGAGAUGGUGCUAAAACAUUUAUUAUCUUUCUUUGCCAUUUACUCAGAGAACUUUAUGCAAUCACAGACAAGGAAAAGGAUUCUUUCUUUUCUGAAAAUAUUCAAACCCAUGGAAGGCACUGGAAAAAUUGUUGUCAGUGGAAAUUUAUUUCCCAAGCUCUUCUAACAUUUCAGACACAAAUAUUAGACUACGUUAUGGACCAUUACUUAAGUAGACACUUUUUGUCCAUCUUUUCUUCAUCCACCAAAGAGAGACCAUUGUGUAGGAGCUCUUUAGAGAUGCUCUUAGGAGCAUACUUUUGUGGAAGAGUGGGAAGAAAUAAUCACAACUUUGUAUCACAGUUGAUGUGUGACUACUUUUUCAAGUGUACAGCUUGUCAAAGUGGGUUUGAAGAAGUACUUGAGUUAGUGGAUGACUGUUUUGUCGAGUUGAAAGUUGGUGUCACCGGCCUUCCUGUUUCCGAUUCCAGGAUCAUAGCUGGGCUUGUGCUUCCCAGAGACUUUUCUGUGUACUGUCCAGCAGACGGUGACAUAAGAAUAGUGAUAGUAAUAGAAACCAUUCAGCCUCUUUUUUCAACUUUUGGAUCAGAGUUUAUUCUAAAUUCAGAAGCACAGUUUCGGACAUCUCAAUUUUGGAUUACAGAAAGGACAAAAGCAAUAAUGAAAUAUUUACAGAAGCAGAAUGUAAAAUUGCUCCUAUCUACUGUGAAACAACCAGACUUAGUAAUUUAUUGUGCAGGACUGAAUGGCAUAUCCGUGGUGGAGUGUUUAUCAUCUGAAGAACUUUCUCUUAUCCAGAGAGUCAUUGGUCUCGCUCCCUUUGUACUACCACAGGCCUCUUCUCAGUAUGAACUCUCUAACACUGCUGUGGUGAAAUUUUGUAAGCCCUUUAUUCUUAGAUCCAAAAGGUAUGUUCAUCUUGGCUUGAUUAGCACAUGUUCGUUUACACCACACUGUAUAGUUCUUUGUGGUCCAGUGCAGGGUCUUGUUGAACAACACCAGGAUGCUUUACAUGGAGCAUUUAAAAUGCUUCGGCAGUUAUUUAAAGACCUUGAUCUAAAUUAUGUGACACAAGCCAGUGACCAAAAUUGUACUUCAAGUCCUCUUAUUUAUAAGAAUAGUAGAGAAAGUAAUGACUUACCAGAAAUUGUUAAUGGCUCAAUACAAAGGCCAUAUCAGGACACAGUUGUAAAGAACAAAGAUGAACUGGCAAAAACUCAAACAUAUUUAAAAGCAUAUUCAAAUUUGGUAGUUCCAAGUGUAGAAUUAGAAACAAAUAUAUUGUGUUCAACACCAACAGUGACACUAACAGAUACAUACCAGACAGAUGCAACACUGAGAUGUUUCUCUCCAAACAAAGCCAGGAUAACGGAUGACCAUGAACCAUUUAUUGAGAGUAAUUCUGCUAACUCAACAACAGAAAAUAGUAGAAGAGAAAUUUCUUAUGAAAAUUUACAGGUCACAAAAAAUGCUAGAAAGGGGAGUAUAUUAGCAGUGAGAUAUAAGUCACUAGAGAUGUGUACUUCCCAGAGUUACUGUUUCUCAUCUGUACCAGCUGGUUGUGUUUUGCCAGUGGGUGGUAAUUUUGAGAUCUUGUUGCAUUACUAUCUUCUCAACUAUGCCAAAAAAUGCCGGCAGUCAGAAGAAACCAUGGUUAGUAUGAUAAUAGCUAAUGCACUUUUAGGCAUUCCCAAAAUCUUGUAUAAGUCUAAGAAAGGAAAUUACAGCUUUCCACAAAUAUAUAUAAGAGCUCUCCAUGCACUGCAAACCAAUCAACCCAUGAUAAGCGACCAGACAGGUUUGGAAUCAGUUGCUGGUAAAUACCAGUUACUAACUUCAGUUCUUCAGUGUUUGACAAACAUUUUAACCAUUGACUUGGUAAUCAAUAUUAAGAGACAACCUCAGGAAAUUUAUGAUCAAGAUUCAGAAGAGGAACUAUAAAAUUGGAAGCUUUUUAUUAACCAAAAUUUUAAUCCAGCUCAAGCCGUAAAGCAAGGCAGGCAUGUGACCACUGAUUUUCAAGUUAAGUCAGUCUAGUUAGGAAAACAGCAUAACUUGAAAAGUCUUUAGAAGUACACAUGCCAGCACACAUUCAGACACAAAUAUUAGAGACUACAUUAUGGCACAAUUCUGAGGAGGAAUCCUUCUGGAUGGGUGAAGCCAAGAUCUGAGAUCCACUCAUCCCAUGAACAAAGAAGCAGGCCCACAAAGAGAAAUGGAAAGGCCAAUGGCUCCACAUCACAAACAGCUAAACUGUCCUUGGAAAGAAGGGGAAAUUUGGACACAGACUCAUGCAUAGAGGGAGGAAGAUGUGAAGACAGGGAGAAGAUGAACAUCUACAAGCCAAAGAGAAAGGCCUGGACCAGAUCCUUUCCUCACAGCCCUCAGCAGGGACCAACUCUGUCAACACCUAGAUUUCGAACUGUGAGUAACCAGAACUGUUGGACAAUACAUUUCUGUUGCUUAAGCCACCCAAUUUGGUACUUUGUUAUGGUGGCCUUAGCAAACUAAUAUAGAUUUUCUGGUGUACAGGUAAAUUAGUUUUGAAAUUCCUAAUACUUAGCCCUAUGAGAAACAGAUUUACCAAACAGAGUACAAAGUUUAUGUGUAGCUCUUUUUGCCUUUAGCCUUAUAAUAUCUAGUCAAAACACUGUUUUCCAAAGUCAGUUCCUUUUCUACCUACCCCUUCAAUGAGGUUAUAUAUUUAUAAUAUAGUUAGAUUAAUUUGUC